rnacentral:rRNA from 1 species
UGGGUGACCUGCCCUCAGCUCUGGGAUAAGCCCGGGAAACUGGGUCUAAUACCGGAUACGACCUCCGCGGGCAUCUGCGGAGGUGGAAAGGUUUUCCGGCUGAGGAUGGGCCCGCGGCCUAUCAGCUAGUUGGUGGGGUGAUGGCCCACCAAGGCGACGACGGGUAGCCGGCCUGAGAGGGCGACCGGCCACACUGGGACUGAGACACGGCCCAGACCUCCUACGGGAGCA